rnacentral:lncRNA from 1 species
UUUCAACAUUCCUUAGAACUGAAUAAGAAAACUUAGCCCGGCAUGUAUUCAAUCUUGCCUCCAAGUCUAGAGUUUUCAAUUGUGUGGCUAGGAUUUUUAAAGCUUGACGAAAAACAUAUUUUUAUACUCCUAGACAAAUUCCUAAAGCUAUAAAAAAUAACAAUCCAAAUCCUAGUAGAAUUAUUCUAAAAAUCGCAAGCCUUCUAAAAUUCUGCUACCCGACCUAGCACUUUCGUGCCAAGAUUCCUAUUACAAACAGCAUUGCUGCGCUACCCAUCUAAGGAUUCUAAAUUCCACCAUCGGCGCAGCUGCGUUGUCUUUCAAGCCAAUUUGAGCGCGGUUGCGCUAAUAGUCCAAAAAGCACAUUUUCAGCUCUACAUCACGGUAUUGUCGCGCCACUUUCUAGUGCAAUUCCGGCGAUGCUGCGUCAGACCUUCUUCUGGCAAUGAUUUUGAAUUUUUUUUCUCUUUUCAGCUUCAAUUUUUUCUAAAAUUAAUAAAUAUUUUAAUAAACUCAUUUAAACAUAAAAUAUAUAAUAAAAUUAAAUAUAAAAAAAUUAAAAUUAUAGAAUAAUAUGUACUCAUCAAUUACGACGACAAAGCAUAAUCCAUCGGUAGCUUGAUAUAUAGUGUCACAUGAAUAUUGAUAAUGGCCUUGAACAUAAAGACCUCGUCAAUUAUUUAUGACUUGGAUAAUAAUCAUCUCAUAUAAUAUAAUAAUACGUUUUACACACUAUAACAUAACAUGUAAUAAAAUAUCACCAACCAUAUAUGAUACUUAGCUAAGUCUCGGAGCAUGAUGAAAACAAACUUAGCGCCACUUAAAUUUUGUCAAUAUAUAUCACACGAGUUUUGAGAGCCUCGGUAUGACAAGUAUGAUGGUACUUAUAAUUCGUAAUUUGCAAUAGCAUCGACUCAAAUCGGAGACCAUACCUUUGGCGGAUAAAUUAAAUCCGGUAAUUUUAAUUCAACACUAGAAUAAGGUUAUUUUUCUAACGCCAAUGUUAAUGUUAAAAUAUAAUCGCUCAUCAAAUCAUCAAACAACGAGCCAAAAACCUGCACAAUAAACAAACGAACACACCAAAAAGAAGCUUAAUAGUCAGUGUCGGAGGAUAGCUCCAAUGUAUGAGAG